GGGGAUGACCGGCUUCGACAGCGAGGGUUGGUCACACGCCGCGAGCCGAGGUUGUUCGUUCGCCUCGUAAAACCACGAACACGGCAUAACUGCCGAUCGCGAAUACGCACUCGCCGCCUAAAUAGGGUGACGACGUCCCUCCUUCCUUUCCCCCGAUGGGGUUGGUAGGGGCGCCAUAUAGUCGGGGCGCUGCUCUCUCGACGCGGAUAGAGGGGGCCUAAGACUAUCCACUGGUGGUGUCAUACCGCGUCGGCGCGGUCCGAUGCCACGAGAAAUGAAACGCCGAAUACGCUCGUAGAAGUUUGUGGUCGUUUUCGUUGGACGCGGGUUCGACUCCCGCCAUCUCCACCA
rnacentral:tmRNA from 1 species